rnacentral:rRNA from 1 species
ACGGGUGAGUAAUAUAUCGGAACGUGCCCAGUCGUGGGGGAUAACUGCUCGAAAGAGCAGCUAAUACCGCAUACGACCUGAGGGUGAAAGCGGGGGAUCGCAAGACCUCGCGCGAUUGGAGCGGCCGAUAUCAGAUUAGGUAGUUGGUGGGGUAAAAGCCCACCAAGCCAACGAUCUGUAGCUGGUCUGAGAGGACGACCAGCCACACUGGGACUGAGACACGGCCCAGACUCCUACGGGAGGCAGCAGUGGGGAAUUUUGGACAAUGGACGCAAGUCUGAUCCAGCCAUGCCGCGUGCGGGAAGAAGGCCUUCGGGUUGUAAACCGCUUUUGUCAGGGAAGAAAAGGUUCUGGUUAAUACCUGGGACUCAUGACGGUACCUGAAGAAUAAGCACCGGCUAACUACGUGCCAGCAGCCGCGGUAAUACGUAGGGUGCAAGCGUUAAUCGGAAUUACUGGGCGUAAAGCGUGCGCAGGCGGUUAUGCAAGACAGAUGUGAAAUCCCCGGGCUCAACCUGGGAACUGCAUUUGUGACUGCAUAGCUAGAGUACGGUAGAGGGGGAUGGAAUUCCGCGUGUAGCAGUGAAAUG